rnacentral:rRNA from 1 species
UCCCCAGGCGGUCUACUUAUCGCGUUAGCUGCGCCACUAAAGCCUCAAAGGCCCCAACGGCUAGUAGACAUCGUUUACGGCAUGGACUACCAGGGUAUCUAAUCCUGUUUGCUCCCCAUGCUUUCGUACCUCAGCGUCAGUAUUAGGCCAGAUGGCUGCCUUCGCCAUCGGUAUUCCUCCAGAUCUCUACGCAUUUCACCGCUACACCUGGAAUUCUACCAUCCUCUCCCAUACUCUAGCUUCCCAGUAUCGAAUGCAAUUCCCAAGUUAAACUCGGGGAUUUCACAUCCGACUUAAAAAGCCGCCUACGCACGCUUUACGCCCAGUAAAUCCGAUUAACGCUCGCACCCUCUGUAUUACCGCGGCUGCUGGCACAGAGUUAGCCGGUGCUUAUUCUGCGAGUAACGUCCACUAUCCAGUAGUAUUAAUACUAGUAGCCUCCUCCUCGCUUAAAGUGCUUUACAACCAAAAGGCCUUCUUCACACACGCGGCAUGGCUGGAUCAGGCUUCCGCCCAUUGUCCAAUAUUCCCCACUGCUGCCUCCCGUAGGAGUCUGGGCCGUGUCUCAGUCCCAGUGUGGCGGAUCAUCCUCUCAGACCCGCUACAGAUCGUCGCCUUGGUAGGCCUUUA